GUUCAUGUAUGCCACUUCACUUUUACAAAAGACUACAUUAGUACCUGUUUUUGCUAACCAAAAGAAAUCUGAAGUGCAUUUUUAUUUUUAUGAAGACAGACAAAAUGAAAAUACCACUCAGCAUUUGUUUUGCAGAGCCCUUAUAGAGGCAGUGCAUAUCCCCAGCCAUGAGAGAGGCCCUACCAGACAGACUCCUUCCCUGGAACUAUGCUCAGCAUCUCAGCUCCCAGCCACCAGAGCUUUGAACUUUGUCUGUUUGGUAAGAAGACUCUCAAAUCAAUUUUAAAGCAAAUCAUCCAAGAUCAUACACCAAAACCAGACCAUGGAUUUGGUUCAAUUAUAAAUCUGCUGCUUGAGUGAACCAUAGAUAAAUCAUGACUCACCACGGGCUGAACAGCUUUUGCACCAGGAACCUGAUGUCACAGCCACCGGUAAAUGCUGCCAUUGGCACUGUAACUGCAACCACCAAAUAUCUAACACUUCUGCCAUCAGACGUGACAGCAAAAAUGCAAGUUCCAUAGAGCAUAGUUUUUUGAAUUGGUUAUUUUUGAACAGAAAUAAUAUUGAUUUACAUCCACUGGCAGACCCUAGAUCAUAUCUAUAUUCUGGUGUGUAAGGCCUGCUGAGAAUUUGGGUUUCUACUCCUACCUUCGGGAAGUAGGAUUCAUUAUGUCAGCAUAUCACCAAAUAUGUGUAAAAUUUCAAAUACAUCGUAUGUCAUGUUGGUACUAAAUUUGUGGAUUUAAGAUGAGUUAUCUGGGACAGAAAAUAUGUCAAAAUACAAAUGAGAUAUGCAAAGAUGCAGAUAAAAGAACAGGUGAGUUUAUAUAACAGGGCACAAUAGGAUGGGAGCCAAGAUUAAUCUGGGUAGGCAAUGAUCCCAUUGCUUUGGUUACAGAAUUCUAUCCUCCUCUUAAUGACAUUAUAAUAAAAUGAUUUUUUGAAAGAUUUUGUUUAUUUAU
rnacentral:lncRNA from 12 species